rnacentral:rRNA from 1 species
UACGGAGGGUGCGAGCGUUAAUCGGAAUUACUGGGCGUAAAGCGCACGUAGGCGGUUGGGCAAGUCGGAUGUGAAAGCCCUGGGCUUAACCUGGGAACUGCAUUCGAUACUGCUCGGCUGGAGUAUGGGAGAGGGAAGCGGAAUUUCCGGUGUAGCGGUGAAAUGCGUAGAUAUCGGAAGGAACACCAAUGGCGAAGGCAGCUUCCUGGCCCAAUAAUGACGCCCAGGUGCGAAAGAGUGGGGAUCAAACAGG